rnacentral:rRNA from 1 species
GACGAACGCUUCCUUCUUUCCUAAUACAUUCAAGUAGAACGCUGAAGAGAGGAGCUUGCUCUUCUUGGAUGAGUUGCGAACGGGUGAGUAACGCGUAGGUAACCUGCCUUGUAGCGGGGGAUAACUAUUGGAAACGAUAGCUAAUACCGCAUAACAAUGGAUGACACAUGUCAUUUAUUUGAAAGGGGCAAUUGCUCCACUACAAGAUGGACCUGCGUUGUAUUAGCUAGUAGGUGAGGUAAUGGCUCACCUAGGCGACGAUACAUAGCCGACCUGAGAGGGUGAUCGGCCACACUGGGACUGAGACACGGCCCAGACUCCUACGGGAGGCAGCAGUAGGGAAUCUUCGGCAAUGGGGGCAACCCUGACCGAGCAACGCCGCGUGAGUGAAGAAGGUUUUCGGAUCGUAAAGCUCUGUUGUAAGUCAAGAACGGGUGUGAGAGUGGAAAGUUCACACUGUGACGGUAGCUUACCAGAAAGGGACGGCUAACUACGGG